UUCCACCUGUAAUGCUGCUCACUGUAUCUUUUUCCACAGUAGAUCAUCACUGCUCUGAACCUGUGGUCUCAUUUAUUUAAAAAGCCUCUUCCCCUGUUUCCUGAAGAUGCAAGGGAAAUGAAAACCAACUUUUCAGAGCUGUCUUCCAUCCCAAAGGUCUGACUGAAUUCCCAACAGCAGGAAAUUGGGAGUGUGUCCUACAGUCUGCUUUGGUGAUCCUUGGUGAGCAGGGCUCUUGAACAUCCCAUGAUGGGCAUCUCGUCUAUGGUGGGACAUGCUAAUUGCAUUUUAAAUCAAAAUGUUCUCCAUGACUGACUGCUUUGCAGCACUAGGUUAAUCCCGUUUAUUCAGCAAACACAUGUAAGAGCAACUUGGAGGGGGAAAAAAAAAGGAGAAGCUGGAAACUGCCUUUUUAUAUUUGCAGUGCUAGGACAGAGGAACGAGUCUUUCCCUAGCGACGCAGCCCAGUGCACACACGGUCCUCGAGCAUCCCCAGACCGACGGCACAGCAGUCAUGGGCCUGCAGGUGAAUGAAUACAUGUAAAGUAACCUGGGUAUCUCUCAGAGUGGAUCUGGUUUGUUUUCUGAAGCUGCCUAUAGGUAAAGAGACAUCCGUACAUUCACACAGGGACGAGGAUAUAAAGGUAUUAUUUUGACGUGACGAGCCCUGCUUGGAAAAUGUCUUCAACUCAUCCAAAGUUGUUGCCACUUUUGCUGCCUUUGCCUUGGAGAAGUCGGGUAAUUCUCCGGCCCCUUUGAAAUAUGUCUUGUCUGCACGGAAUUUCUGCCAACAAACCAACCGAUAGAUAUGGACAAAUACACCCUUGGCACAGGAUGAAUGAGCAAAGUGGCAUCCCAGCUCCCUCCCAGCCAGCCGGGGACAUGGGAGCAAAGAGCCAAGACAGCCAACACCACACCGUGC